rnacentral:misc_RNA from 1 species
UUUUAGCCCGGAUUGCAGCAAUUGUCUGAGCUCAUUUUCUUUGUUUCGGCGCGGCAGCUUCGCUGCCGCGCCGAAACAAAGAAAAUAGCGAGUGCGAAAAGCCGGAAAAGCU